AGCGAACGCUGGCGGCAGGCCUAACACACGCAAGUCGAACGAACCUUUCGGGGUUAGUGGCGGACGGGUGAGUAACACGUGGGAACGUGCCUUUAGGUUCGGAAUAACUCAGGGAAACUUGUGCUAAUACCGAAUGUGCCCUUCGGGGGAAAGAUUAAUCGCCUUUAGAGCGGCCCGCGUCUGAUUAGCUAGUUGGUUGAGGUAAUGGCUCACCAAGGCGACGAUCAGUAGCUGGUCUGAGAGGAUGAUCAGCCACAUUGGGACUGAGACACGGCCCAAACUCCUACGGGAGGCAGCAGUGGGGAAUCUUGCGCAAUGGGCGAAAGCCUGACGCAGCCAUGCCGCGUGAAUGAUGAAGGUCUUAGGAUUGUAAAAUUCUUUCACCGGGGACGAUAAUGACGGUACCCGGAGAAGAAGCCCCGGCUAACUUCGUG
rnacentral:rRNA from 1 species